UUGCACGCUGGCGGCAGGCCUCACCCCUGCAAGUCGCGCGGUAGAGAGAAGCUUGCUUCUCUUGAGAGCGGCGGACGGGUGAGUAAUGCCUAGGAAUCUGCCUGGUAGUGGGGGAUAACGUUCGGAAACGGACGCUAAUACCGCAUACGUCCUACGGGAGAAAGCAGGGGACCUUCGGGCCUUGCGCUAUCAGAUGAGCCUAGGUCGGAUUAGCUAGUUGGUGGGGUAAUGGCUCACCAAGGCGACGAUCCGUAACUGGUCUGAGAGGAUGAUCAGUCACACUGGAACUGAGACACGGUCCAGACUCCUACGGGAGGCAGCAGUGGGGAAUAUUGGACAAUGGGCGAAAGCCUGAUCCAGCCAUGCCGCGUGUGUGAAGAAGGUCUUCGGAUUGUAAAGCACUUUAAGUUGGGAGGAAGGGUUGUAGAUUAAUACUCUGCAAUUUUGACGUUACCGACAGAAUAAGCACCGGCUAACUCUGUG
rnacentral:rRNA from 1 species